CCUACGGGUGGCAGCAGUGAGGAAUAUUGGUCAAUGGACGAGAGUCUGAACCAGCCAAGUAGCGUGAAGGAUGACUGCCCUACGGGUUGUAAACUUCUUUUGUAUGGGAAUAAAAUGUUCCACGUGUGGGAUUUUGUGUGUACCAUAUGAAUAAGGAUCGGCUAACUCCGUGCCAGCAGCCGCGGUAAUACGGAGGAUCCGAGCGUUAUCCGGAUUUAUUGGGGUUAAAGGGGGCGUAGGUGGAUUGUUAAGUCAGUUGUGAAAGUUGGCGGCUCAACCGGAAUAUUGCAGUUGAAACUGGCAGCCUUGAGUACAGUAGAGGUAGGCGGAAUUCGUGGUGUAGCGGUGAAAUGCAUAGAUAUCACGAAGAACUCCGAUUGCGAAGGCAGCUCACUGGAGUGCAACUGACGCUGAGGCUCGAAAGUGUGGGUAUCAAACAGGAUUAGAUACCCGAGUAGUC
rnacentral:rRNA from 1 species